GAAUGGCGCACGCGUACACAUGCAAGUCGAGCGGCAGCGGGAGGUGCUUGCACCUCGCCGGCGAGCGGCGGACGGGUGAGUAACGCAUAGGAAUCUGCCCGGUAGUGGGGGAUAACCUGGGGAAACCCAGGCUAAUACCGCAUACGUCCUACGGGAGAAAGCAGGGGCUCUUCGGACCUUGCGCUAUCGGAUGAGCCUAUGCCGGAUUAGCUAGUUGGUAGGGUAAUGGCCUACCAAGGCAACGAUCCGUAGCUGGUCUGAGAGGAUGAUCAGCCACACUGGGACUGAGACACGGCCCAGACUCCUACGGGAGGCAGCAGUGGGGAAUAUUGGACAAUGGGCGCAAGCCUGAUCCAGCCAUGCCGCGUGUGUGAAGAAGGCUUUCGGGUUGUAAAGCACUUUCAGUGGGGAAGAAGGCCUGUCGGCUAAUACCCGGCAGGAACGACAUCACCCACAGAAGAAGCACCGGCUAACUCCGUGCCAGCAGCCGCGGUAAUACGGAGGGUGCGAGCGUUAAUCGGAAUUACUGGGCGUAAAGCGCGCGUAGGCGGCGUGAUAAGCCGGUUGUGAAAGCCCCGGGCUCAACCUGGGAACGGCAUCCGGAAC
rnacentral:rRNA from 1 species